rnacentral:rRNA from 1 species
UACGGAGGGUGCAAGCGUUAUCCGGAUUUACUGGGUUUAAAGGGUGCGCAGGCGGAUAUGUAAGUCAGUGGUGAAAUCUCCGGGCUUAACCCGGAAACUGCCGUUGAUACUAUAUAUCUUGAAUGCUGUGGAGGUAAGCAGAAUAUGUCAUGUAGCGGUGAAAUGCUUAGAGAUGACAUAGAAUACCUAUUGCGAAGGCAGCUUACUACGCAGACAUUGACGCUCAUGCACGAAAGCGUGGGGAUCAAACAGG